GGAUGACAGAAGACACGCCCCAGAGGAAGACGUCAGCCAGGAAUCCCCGCGCGGUCAGCCUCUUGCUGGGGGUGCGGCAGCGGCAGCAACCGAUGGCAAGUCUGGAGAAGCAGGGUGAGAUGGAGGUGUGGCCAGGCCUGUACGCACACCUCACCUCCCAGCUGGCGCGGGGCAAGGUGGCGCUGGUGCUGGAGGUGACCAGUCUGACCUCACCCAAACAUUGUGGCAGGAACUGAGCACCUCACAUCCACACACUGGGUGGGUGGUGCCUGCCGUCCUGGCCAAGAGUGCCGCCCACACCCUCAGUGCCUUGCUGGGCCACCACUGCCCCCCUGCUGGACCCCCCUGCAGCCAUCACCAAGCCUUCAGGAGACACUGCUGAGCCUGGUGUAUGUCCAACGGGCACACUGGCGCUGCUUCCAGUACCAGGGGUCCUUAUGCCAGCAGGAGGUGCGGGGCGAGGCUGACCCCAGCACCUUCACCCCGAGCCUCUCCUUCCAAGGCCUGGUGGGUGUCUGGCCCUUACGCCUCCAGACCAGAGACGCCAUGCAGCUCCUGACACCACAGACACAGCAGCUCAGGGAGAGGAUUGGUGAGAAACUGCUGCAGCUGAGGAGGGAAGAGGCCGUGGUGCUGAGUGAGUCUCCGAGGCUGUGUCUGGUGUGUGACGAGCAGGUGGAGCAACACGCAGCCUUACGGAAGGAGUGGUAUGGGUGACGCAGAGGCUCUCACUCAGGUGGUGCUGCCCGUGGCCUACCAGUUCAACCCACAGCUGGUCCUGGUCACUGCCAGCCUUGAUGCUGGUGCGGGGACCCACUUGGAGGUUGCUGCGUGAGUCCCGAUUGCUUUGGACAUAUGAUGGCCCUUCUGUCUGGCCUGGCCGAGGGCCGCAUGGUUCUGGCACUGGAGGGCGGCUUCAACCUCACCACCAUCAGCUGCUGCAUGACGCUGUGUGCCAAGGCCUUGCUGGGGGACCCGCUGCCCCCCCCUUGAGCCCCAGCUGGUGCCCAACAAGAGUGCCGUGCAGACCAUCAAUGACGUCAUCCGUACCCACAGCCGCUACUGGCCGGCGCUCUGCUUCAAGAAAGAAGAAGAAGAAAAGAAGAGAAGGAGAGGGUAUAUGUCUGUGUGUGUGUUAUAUGGACAAAAUUUAAACUGAUUUCUUUCAACAUAUAUUUUAUUAUUAUUAUUGAAAGACAAACUUUUCUUCUUCACUUCCUCCUUCUUCUUC